AAUAUUUCUAGUACGAGCAAUUUGUCACCAUUUUCAUUCCCCUUACACCCCUCUCCUACAAAUAAAGAGUUGCCGCCGAAAAGAUGGCAACGAGAUUUUCCUAGUUAAAAACUUUAAUCUCUUGGUUUGUUUCAUCAAUAUUUAAAAGCCUAAAUGGAGUUUUGCUACAUUUUACUUAGACAAAAUAAUUAAUUUUGAAACCAAAAAAAAAAAAAAAAGAAAAAAAUCAAUAAAACUUAACAGCCUAGUAAUUUAUCGAAGCUGUUAAGUCCUCCGAUAGAAUUUGGGUUACGAAAUAAAUCUCUGUGCUUCUAAAAGCAUUGCCCUCCAUUCUAUUCAGCUGCAUUAACAGAAGAGGGGUUUUUUUUACAACAAUAUUUGUCAUCAAGUAAAUCGGCCGCAAUACUUUAAUUCAUUAAAUAAAUCUGGGAUAAGCCAUUGC